rnacentral:misc_RNA from 1 species
GCAAACUUGGUCAUUUAGAGGAAGUAAAAGUCGUAACAAGGUUUCCGUAGGUGAACCUGCGGAAGGAUCAUUAAUGAAUAAACUUGGUCGAGUUGUUGCUGGUCUCUUUUAAGGGACAUGUGCACGCUUUGACUUUUGUUUUUAACCACCUGUGCACCUUUUGUAGACUUUGGAGUCAUUUAAAACCUUGGUUUUGUAUUGGGAGUUGUGUUUAGCUCUCCCUGUUUCUCCAUGGUCUAUGUCUUUUUAUACACCCUUGAUAUGUAAAGAAUGUAUUUUUGGGCUUUUUUAAAGCCUAUAAAAAUGUUAUACAACUUUCAACAACGGAUCUCUUGGCUCUCGCAUCGAUGAAGAACGCAGC